AUGGGGAAGCUAGCCACCCCUGGGGAUAUUGUCCACCCACGGGGACACUGGACAUCCCUGAAGACACUCACUCCUGCACAGCUGGCACUUCUGCUCUGGGCUCCCAGCAACCCACACCACUGCGCAGGGAGAGGCCUGGGCGCAGCUGAGGGAUACACACUGACCAUCCCCUCCUGUCCAGGGCUGGACCUGGAUGAGAGCUGUGCCGAGGCCCAGGAUGGGGAGCUGGAUGGGCUGUGGACAACCAUCACCAUCUUCAUCACCCUCUUCCUGCUCAGCGUGUGCUACAGCGCCACGGUGACCCUUUUCAAGGUGAAGUGGAUCUUCUCCUCGGUGAUGGACCUGAAGCAGACCAUCGCCCCUGACUACAGGAACAUGAUCGGGCAGGGGGCUUAGAGCCUACCCCUCAAGGGCUCAGGCUUCCCAGGCCCUUGCAGGAUCCCAUCCAUCACUUCCAGCAGCUCAGCCCCAGGUCACACACUCCUCUGACCUCGCUGCCUCUCUGACCCUGUGGUUCAGUGACCAUGCGCUCCCACCCUCCCCGCUCUGGAGGACUCGUGGAUAGCAGGUGCGCCCAGCCUCAGCAGCCUGGACAUGCGCCACCCCUGGAGCAGUCUCCAUGACCCUGGCUGAGACAAGAGAUGCAGCUUCCUUCUGCAGGACAUCCCUGCCUUAUGAGCAGGGUGGUCACCCAAGAGGAGGCAGAGACCAGCAUUGGCCAUGUCCAUCUGGGUGGAGACCAGCCUUGGAGACAGCCCUGUCAACACCAGCCUCUCCAGCACAGGGCAUCUCAGAGAAACGUGAGGCUGAGACCCUCCAGAGAGACUGCUGUACUUAGCGUGGCAAACAUGAUCAGUGGCCCUCAGCAGAGGUUUAGAAAGGGCUGCUGACAGUCACCCCGAUGGACUGUACCAGCCCAAGCCUAGAGGGCCUGUGCUGGGCAUUUCUAUGGAUGGGGCCUUGAGCAAUGGUUCAUAUUUCCCUCAUGUGUCCUCUGAUGUGGACCCUGAGUACUGUCCCUCCUCGUGGCCCACAUUGCACACUGCUGGGUCCAACCCAUAGGGAUUGACCACCCCAGGCCUCUCUGUACUGGUGAUAAAGAACUGGGCUCAGGAUACUACCACCUCCCCCUGGAAGCCCAGUGCCACUCCUGGGAGGCACUCAAGGGAAGAUCUGGGCUAUCUGGUGGCUUCAGAACCACAGUAGGGGCAGAAGUGGAAGGCUGCCACCAUCCACACCUCCAGGAAGCCUGGUGGGCAGGUCACAGGCAGGCCAGACUCAGCCUUCUGGUUCUCACGGACAGAGGAGGCCCAAGAGCACCUGUCCCAACCAAGGCACAGCUUGAUGGCUGCUGAAAGCACCAGGGCUCAACCAGGCAUGUCCUACAGGACCAAUGUCCACUCCAGAUCACUGAAAGCAGGAACCCCCAGUUGGACAAGGUAUCCACAGAGAGAGCCCAAUGACCCAGGAGCCAGGGUUUGGCUGGCACUGGACAGAAGGUCCAUGUGCCAUGGUCUUAUCCAGCAUGGGGAAAAUGCCAAGCCAGACCCUCUAGUUGGAAGAAAGACACAAGUAAGAAAGGAAAGCAGACAGUACCCCGUGCUUCAGAAAAGCCCAAGGGACAGGUCGGUUCAGCUUUGUAGCUUUGUUCUGCUUGUAGUAUUCUGGAUCCUAUGAUAUCCUGUAAGUUCAUCUUUAACGGCAAUAAAACAUCCUUUAAA